UACGAAGGGUGCAAGCGUUAAUCGGAAUUACUGGGCGUAAAGGGUGCGUAGGCGGUUCGGUAAGUCUGACGUGAAAUCCCCGGGCUCAACCUGGGAAUUGCGUUGGAGACUGCAAGGCUGGAGUCUGGCAGAGGGGGGUAGAAUUCCACGUGUAGCAGUGAAAUGCGUAGAGAUGUGGAGGAACACCGAUGGCGAAGGCAGCCCCCUGGGUCAAGACUGACGCUCAUGCACGAAAGCGUGGGGAGCAAACAGG
rnacentral:rRNA from 1 species